rnacentral:pre_miRNA from 1 species
GUAGUACUCCCUCCGUCCCAAAAUUCUUAUCUUAGAUUUGUCUAAAUACAGAUGUAUCAAGUCACGUUUUAGUGUUAGAUACAUCCGUAUCUAGACAAAUCUAAGACAAGAAUUUUGGGACGGAGGGAGUAUUUU